GCCGGGGAGGGCGUCCGCGCGGGGGCCGCGGCUGCUUCCCCGCGGGCGUCCCCGGACGCCGCCUGCCUUGGCGCGGAGACGCCGCCGCGGGCGGCACCUUGGGGAAGACGUGAGGACGACUAGCGGGAACAGAACAGCGCUGGGUCCACGUCCCGACAGGCGUCAAGGGCCACCGCCAGCAUGGACAGCGCAGAGCCGCGCUCCGCCUGCAGCUAGGGGGGCGAUGUCCUCCCUUCUGGACACCGGAUACCUCUCCUCGAGCCCAGCAGUCCAGGCCGAGGUGUGGGAACAGCCCUCCCAAGGCGUGGUGCCCUGUCCCUGUCAACUCCCAACUGUGCACCAGGAGGGUGACCAGGCGCCGCCCUGACCCUGUGCUGUCUCCAGAUGGUUCUCUGGGUCUUCAGAGUGCUCGGAGGGGCUCCAGGCUUCCCCGCAGCACAGCCCUCUUCAGCACAUCCCUGCGAGUGGAACCAAUCCCUCAUCUCUGCCAUUAAGUUAAACGAGGACCCCUCGAGCCCCAAAGCUGGAGAAUGGAUGUGAUCAGUUAAUCUAGUGCAAGCUGUCGUGGGCAGCUCUCCACACACGAGAGCCAUCUCAGAGCGGGGAGCGCGGGAGCCUGGCGCGAGGGCAGGGGCAUGAGUGGCCGCGUCCCACUGGCGGAGAAAGCCUUGUCUGAAGGCUACGCCCGCCUCCGCUACAGGGACACCUCUCUGCUCAUCUGGCAGCAGCAGCAGCAGAAGUUGGAAUCGGUGCCGCCGGGGACGUACCUGAGCAGGAGCCGGAGCAUGUGGUACUCCCAGUACGGAAACGAGGCCAUCCUCGUCCGGGACAAGCACAAGCUGGAGGUCUCCCGGGACACGGGCCAGUCCAAGUUCUGCUCAGUCAUGUGACUCCAGUGUGGGAACCUGAGCCCAGGCGCCGCUCCUGAGGACAGCAGGCCUGCGUUUCGCUCGGGUGUUGAUUUCUAGUCCUUACCGGAGAUCCUGAGUGAUGAACACGAGGAUCCAACUGCAGUGUAGAAACCCACGCCCUUUAGCACACAGUGGUGAGACAGGACACUUUGCUGCAGGCCCUUGUAGUCGGUCAUGGUGACAUUCGAAUCCUCCAGGAGCUGCCGGGCACGGCCCAGGCCUCGGCACUGCCAGAUGUCCCUGUUAUGCUUCCAAGUGGGCAAGGGCAGCCCUCCAUUCCCGUGACAGCCCGCCCUUUCGAGCUUCUGUAGGCCGUGUUCAGUAUCAGCUCCUGCCUGUCAUAGAACGGGUCAGUCCGGAGGAAGAUGAGGGGUCUGUUGGUCUCAGAUCCGUUUGCUCGGGCACGAUGGGAGCUGAUGGGCCGCGGUCAGCGCGGACGGUGAGCAGCCGCCCAGGGGAGGCCCGCCGCCCUUGCAUUGUGAGUUACCAGGAUGGUCUUUCUGUGUGACACACACGUGCAGCUUCCAGACACCUGAGCUGCACCAGUGAGCACACCCAGGACACGCUGAGGAAACCCAAGGCUGAAGCCCCACACGAGCUGCCGGCAGUGAUUUCCAAUGUGGCGACGUGGCUUGUAUGGCAGGGUCUCCAUCGCACGCUGCAUUUCAGCCUCUGAGGCCACAGCUUAUCCACUGACAGUUUGACGUGUGUCUGUCACUGCUGCCCACGUGCAGCCGGUGCCCACCCACGUGCGCCCUUUUGAAAAGGUUUCCCCUCUGCUGUGAUUAAAGUCUGCCUGGCUGUGCAAACGUG